UACGUAGGGUGCGAGCGUUAAUCGGAAUUACUGGGCGUAAAGCGUGCGCAGGCGGUUAUGCAAGACAGAUGUGAAAUCCCCGGGCUCAACCUGGGAACUGCAUUUGUGACUGCAUGGCUAGAGUACGGGUAGAGGGGGGAUGGAAUUCCGCGUGUAGCAGUGAAAUGCGUAGAUAUGCGGAGGAACACCGAUGGCGAAGGGCAAUCCCCCUG
rnacentral:rRNA from 1 species